AUUUUUUCAUUGAUUUUUGAUGACCAUCCAACUUUUUUAAGUGAUGCAUAAGAACAACCUCCAUCCAUUUUCACAUGUAUCUAGGACAGUUCAUCUGUGUGAAAACAAAUCAAACCUCACUUCUAUCUAAGACAUGGAGGGUUGCACCUCUUCUAGUUUUUGGAAGGAGUUGGUGGUGCCUGCAGCCGCAGCAGCAGCAGCAGAAGCUCGUCAAAGUGGUCUGAGGUGGUACUUCAACAUCCAGCAGGACCUUUCUCUUUACGAGUUCCAGAGUUCGAUCCAUUUGCCCAUUCUGGGCAUCACCCAGGCGAGGCCUUUGUUCUUCUUCAGGGGCAACCCAAGCUAGGGAAAUGAAUAAUAUAAGAGCCAAAGAUGACACCUAGGUUAUUUUGUGAAAAUGGUUAUUCGACUAGAGAGGAAGAGAUGCAGCGAAGACUGUCAGGAAGCAUAACAACAGCAAGCAAAAUGAUCAUUUAGUCAAGAUAGAUGGGAUCAGUAAGCAAGCAAGGCAGAAGUCUGAGAGGAAAAACUGUGUAAUUAAACUCUCUUUUCAUUUUUCAUCUUGCUUGAAAUAAGUAUCCAAAAUUUGUAAUAGAUUCUCUUUUAUUUUAUUUGGAACAUCAUAUGUAUACUCAAAAAUUCUUUAAUGUAUUAAUCUUUGUAAUAUGAUCGCUUUGGUGUA